CCCAACCUUAAAAAUGAAAUAAACCCUUAAAUCACAAUUAAAAUACUUCUGUUGUCACAAUCAUGAGUUAGUCAAUUAUUCAGUUUAUCAAUUCAACUUUAUUUGUUUAGCACCUUUUACACAGAUGACAAAACUAAACAAGCAAAGAGAAAAAACUAUGAUUAAAACUCAAAAACAAUUUAAAAAAAAAAAAAAAAAAAAAAGAUUUAACAUGGUAAUAAAAUAUGUUGUGUCCAGGGGAUGGAGGGAGUUUAUUGAAGUCUUCUUGGGCUCACAUGGGAAAUCAUUUAAAAUAUAAACUUGAUAUUCAGUCUAAGGAAACUGGAAACUGCAGAGCGACAGAAGAACCAACAAUAUCUCCUGUUUUCUCCUUUAAUGAGUCGAUUCUUCUUGUACUUUCAGACCAAAGAACUACAGACUCUUCACAACCUGCUCAAACUCUUGGUACAGGACCUCACCACACGGGUCAAGAAGGUUUCUGUCUCAUUUCUACUCUGAAGCUCACCUUCUCCUGCUCAAACUGCUGACAAAUGUUUCUGCUGCUCUAAAGUCUGGUCUCCAGAACUUCCUAAAAACUCUCAAAGUCUCUUCUGCUGCAGGUUGCUUUGUAGAACUGUUCCAGAAAACCUCACUAAACCACAUGGAGGGGCCUCAAGAUAGUCGUCCAAAUGAAACCAUACAAAAACCAAACUAGCACAACACAAACACUAAAGUCUCCUGCAGCCUACCAGAGAACCUCUGAGAACAGAGAAUCAGGACAGGAACUCUUACCUUCUGGACAACCAACGUUGGUUCAUAAACAAGAAUACAGAAUGUGUCUGACCAAAAACCUCUGAAGACUCACUACAGCCAAGAUAAAGACACAACUCAGCUGGACCAAAUCCACUAAUCACUACACACAUUAGCACCAUGUGCUCACUGUGGCUAAAGAACCACAUUUACCAAGACAACUAUCCAGUACAAAGCCCUAAAACACACCAAGAAACACAUUAAAGACGAUUUUACUGCUGGAAGCUGCAAGCCAACGCCUAAAGAACAACCUAAAGCAAAGGAGCCAAACCCAGUUCACUGGUGAAGAGAAGCAGAGGAAAUGUUUGACUGCAGCUAAAUAAAGCAGGAAGACACUGAGCUGCUCAGGUGUUCCUGAUAACACCAAGCAGCCACCUGGACAGCCAAUAGGAACACAGCUUACUGGAAGUCCAGAGGGCUGGGUUAGUGAAGGAAAUUUAGUUUAAAGUUGAAGCAGAAAGUUAACAAAGAAAGUUGAAAACCACCUUCUGAUACCUGAAAUCUCUGAGUUUUCACACAAAGAACACCUGAACAUGUCAAACUGGUUCCAUAGUAGAACCAUCAUUGUAAAAACGUCAUAGUAUGGUGUGUUGCUCAAAAAACAUUAGGACCCGGCUGUCAGGGGACAAACAUGUAAGAAACAUGAGAACAGAGAGAACCCAACCAGUAGGUCACAGUUUAUCAUCCCCCAGUCAUCUCCUGAAGUCCAUAUGGUGAGAGACAUCAGUAUCUGGUUGUUAAUUUACCAGAGGAUGCUUAUAAUCAUGCUGAUGUGGUCUGUACUCUACAGUAUUUUAGUGACUCAAUAAAUGCCUAAGUUGUUUUUUUUAAAUGCUUUUUAGUUUUUAAUAAACAUUUAACAGCCUAUAUGUAAUCAAUAAAUGGCCUUUGCCUAUCUUAAGAAAAAUUCACUCAGAACUCUGAUAUGUUAACAGUACUAAAUAAAUCAAUAAAUACAUGCAUACACACAAAAAUAAGUUAAUACAUUAACUGUGUUAAGAUAAGAUUUAGAUUUUUAAAAAAGUUGUUUAUGUUUUUGCAGAAUCCAGUAUUGCUCACUGGUUGGUCAUUACAUUUUAUUAGUUUGAUUUCACUGUUUAAAAUGAUGCCACCUCUUUUCAGACAGAACCUGUGAUAAUAAAACAAUACAAAAUUUUUAGUUCCGUGUUAAUAAAGCACUUAAAGCUUUAAGUAUGGCUAAAUGCUUUUUUCAAAUUAAAUAUAUCACUCCUUAGGUGGUAGUGGCCCCAAGUUCAGUAAAGUUGGAAAGAUAUUCACAGAUUCGGACUUCCAGCAUCAAUAACUCAUUAGAUAUAGGUUGUCAAAACAUAAACGGUGCCUCUUUCCCAUUGUUGCAAGGCAGACAAUGUGCUACAAGCCCAGUUUUAUCAAAAGUAGCUGUCUUUCAAGCUACAGGAAUAACAUUGGUGUCUAUGGAGUGAACAGGGUCCGUCUGCAAUUUGCAAAACCACUGCAACAGUAAAGAGAGACAAAUAUUCAAUAACUUCACUCUUAUACAUUGUAGUGUCACUAAAAUCACUGCAGCCUUCAACUGGCUCCUGUUGACAAAGUGUUUUAACAGAAAUGUAAAUGCUGUAAUUUGAUUCUUUUAAUGAACCAUGUAACUUGAAUGGAUGUGAUGCUGGUGUGACCACAGUGCACACGUCUGAUGUUGCUCACAGUGGUCCAAGGGACGCUCAGGGAGUUUGUGUGUUUGCUCAGACUCAUGAAAAAUUACAGGGAACAUUGUUUGGGACUCAAGCAGUUCCUUCUUUUACUCACUAUCUCCCCAGCCUUAGAAAAAAAAAAACCUGUUCACACGGCACAGAUGAGGCUGAGGUACACAGGAAAUGUUUGGCUCCAUUGUACAAGUUUGGGUAAACAGUUUUGUGGGUUGCCCAGUAAGCCAGUGGGUCUGCCGUUCUUUCUACAAUUGCAUUCGCUGUGGCGCUUUGCAUUUGCCAGGCUCUACUUGCGUCUUCGUCUAAUAGGCUCCACAGUUGAACUGAAAAAUAUUGAAGAUCAUCAUCAUCAUCACCAGAAAUGUCAGUCAUUCCCUAUUCAGAAGAGAAAAAGAAUACCUGUGGAAGGUGCUGCUGGUGGUGGAGGACGAGGCUGUGGUGGUGCUUGUGACGUAGAUGACUGCUGCUUGGUAUUCUUUAUGUUAAUUGUUGUGCAUUCUGUUAUUAAACGUUCUUUCACACUG